GAUGAACGCUGGCGGCGUGCCUAAUACAUGCAAGUCGAACGCACAGCGAAAGGUGCUUGCACCUUUCAAGUGAGUGGCGAACGGGUGAGUAACACGUGGACAACCUACCUCAAGGCUGGGGAUAACAUUUGGAAACAGAUGCUAAUACCGAAUAAAACUUAGUGUCGCAUGACACAAAGUUAAAAGGCGCUUCGGCGUCACCUAGAGAUGGAUCCGCGGUGCAUUAGUUAGUUGGUGGGGUAAAGGCCUACCAAGACAAUGAUGCAUAGCCGAGUUGAGAGACUGAUCGGCCACAUUGGGACUGAGACACGGCCCAAACUCCUACGGGAGGCUGCAGUAGGGAAUCUUCCACAAUGGGCGAAAGCCUGAUGGAGCAACGCCGCGUGUGUGAUGAAGGCUUUCGGGUCGUAAAGCACUGUUGUAUGGGAAGAACAGCUAGAAUAGGAAAUGAUUUUAGUUUGACGGUACCAUACCAGAAAGGGACGGCUAAAUACGUGCCAGCAGCCGCGGUAAUACGUAUGUCCCGAGCGUUAUCCGGAUUUAUUGGGCGUAAAGCGAGCGCAGACGGUUUAUUAAGUCUGAUGUGAAAGCCCGGAGCUCAACUCCGGAAUGGCAUUGGAAACUGGUUAACUUGAGUGCAGUAGAGGUAAGUGGAACUCCAUGUGUAGCGGUGGAAUGCGUAGAUAUAUGGAAGAACACCAGUGGCGAAGGCGGCUUACUGGACUGCAACUGACGUUGAGGCUCGAAAGUGUGGGUAGCAAACAGGAUUAGAUACCCUGGUAGUCCACACCGUAAACGAUGAACACUAGGUGUUAGGAGGUUUCCGCCUCUUAGUGCCGAAGCUAACGCAUUAAGUGUUCCGCCUGGGGAGUACGACCGCAAGGUUGAAACUCAAAGGAAUUGACGGGGACCCGCACAAGCGGUGGAGCAUGUGGUUUAAUUCGAAGCAACGCGAAGAACCUUACCAGGUCUUGACAUCCUUUGAAGCUUUUAGAGAUAGAAGUGUUCUCUUCGGAGACAAAGUGACAGGUGGUGCAUGGUCGUCGUCAGCUCGUGUCGUGAGAUGUUGGGUUAAGUCCCGCAACGAGCGCAACCCUUAUUGUUAGUUGCCAGCAUUCAGAUGGGCACUCUAGCGAGACUGCCGGUGACAAACCGGAGGAAGGCGGGGACGACGUCAGAUCAUCAUGCCCCUUAUGACCUGGGCUACACACGUGCUACAAUGGCGUAUACAACGAGUUGCCAGCCCGCGAGGGUGAGCUAAUCUCUUAAAGUACGUCUCAGUUCGGAUUGUAGUCUGCAACUCGACUACAUGAAGUCGGAAUCGCUAGUAAUCGCGGAUCAGCACGCCGCGGUGAAUACGUUCCCGGGUCUUGUACACACCGCCCGUCACACCAUGGGAGUUUGUAAUGCCCAAAGCCGGUGGCCUAACCUUUUAGGAAGGAGCCGUCUAAGGCAGGACAGAUGACUGGGGUGAAG
rnacentral:rRNA from 1 species